AACGUAGGGCGCAAGCGUUAUCCGGAGUUACUGGGCGUAAAGCGCGCGCAGGCGGUCUGUCAAGUGGGAUGUGAAAGCGCUCAGCUUAACUGGGCGAUGCAUCGCAGACUGAUGGACUGGAGGGCAGUAGAGGUAGGCGGAAUUCCGGGUGGAGUGGUGAAAUGCGUAGAGAUCCGGAGGAACACCAGAGGCGAAGGCGGCCUACUGGACUGCACCUGACGCUGAGCCGCGAAAGCCAGGGGAGCGAACGGG
rnacentral:rRNA from 1 species